rnacentral:tRNA from 1 species
GAGGGUAUAGCUCAAAUGGUACAGGGCUUGCUUAGCAUGCAGGAGGUCCUGGGUUCAAUCCCCAGUGCCUCCU